CUUCCUUCAUUCACACAAGCAUCCUCUCCUUCUCUCCUCUUCACCGCGCUUUCUCUCUGUAAAACUAAAAUCGACUCUCCCUCCAUCCUCUCUAUUCUUCAACCCGAAGUCAUCAGUUGCCGUUGGGGCGCGGACGAUGAUGUUCCGCAGCGCUGUUGCCAUGAACGGGGCCACCGGGAGCUUGGGUGGCGCCACCAAUUCUUCUCCAUCCACCGUUGACUAUGAAGAAUUAUCAGAGGGAAAUGGAUAUAGACUUCCUCCACCAGAGAUUAGAAAUAUUGUUGAUGCUCCGCCCCUUCCAACACUAUCAUUUUCACCUGGUAGGGAUAAAAUACUCUUCCUCAAAAGGAGAUCAUUGCCUCCUCUGGAAGAAAUUGGCAAGGCCUGAGGAGAAGCUUGCUGGAAUUCGCGUUGAUCCCAAAUGUAAUUCCCAGAGUCGAAUGUCAUAUUAUACAGGGAUUGGAAUCUAUUAGAUAAUGGAGGACUGUACAUUGGGACCUGAAAAAGAAGUACAUGGUCUUCCAAGUGGUGCAAAAAUCAAUUUUGUUUCGUGGUCAAAUGAUGGUAGCUAUCUGGCCUUUGGUGUUCGAGCUGAUAAGGUAUUUUCUUUUAAUUUGUUGUUUUGUUAUAAUCAUUCAAUACUUACCCGCAUCUUUCAUUUUGCUGACAAAUCCCUUUAUUACCAAGGAUGUCCCUUUAUUUGCGAUGGAUAUUUGGGAAGGAAUGAAUUCCCUUCCAAAUUUCGAAUCAAUUUGUGAUGGAU